rnacentral:rRNA from 1 species
AGAGUUUGAUCCUGGCUCAGGAUGAACGCUAGCGGCAGGCUUAAUACAUGCAUGUCGAGGGGCAGCACGUCUUCGGAUGGUGGCGACCGGCAAACGGGUGCGGAACACGUACACAACCUUCCUUUUAGUGGGGGAUAGCCCAGAGAAAUUUGGAUUAAUACCCCGUAAGAUAUUAGAGCGGCAUCGCUUAGAUAUUAUAGGUUUACCGCUAAGAGAUGGGUGUGCGGCUGAUUAGGUAGUUGGCGGAGUAACAGCCCACCAAGCCGACGAUCAGUAGCUGAUGUGAGAGCAUGAUCAGCCACACGGGCACUGAGACACGGGCCCGACUCCUACGGGAGGCAGCAGUAAGGAAUAUUGGACAAUGGACGCAAGUCUGAUCCAGCCAUGCCGCGUGAAGGAUUAAGGCCCUCUGGGUUGUAAACUUCUUUUAUAGGGGACGAAAAAAGGGCUUUCUAGCUCGUCUGACGGUACCCUAUGAAUAAGCACCGGCUAACUCCGUGCCAGCAGCCGCGGUAAUACGGAGGGUGCAAGCGUUAUCCGGAUUCACUGGGUUUAAAGGGUGCGUAGGCGGGCAGUUAAGUCAGUGGUGAAAUCUUCGAGCUCAACUCGGAAACUGCCAUUGAUACUAUCUGUCUUGAAUACUGUGGAGGUGAGCGGAAUAUGUCAUGUAGCGGUGAAAUGCUUAGAUAUGACAUAGAACACCGAUUGCGAAGGCAGCUCGCUACACAAAUAUUGACGCUGAGGCACGAAAGCGUGGGGAUCAAACAGGAUUAGAUACCCUGGUAGUCCACGCCCUAAACUAUGGAUACUCGACAUUUGCGAUACACAGUAAGUGUCUGAGCGAAAGCAUUAAGUAUCCCACCUGGGAAGUACGACCGCAAGGUUGAAACUCAAAGGAAUUGGCGGGG